GGCGAGGUAGCUCAGCAGGUUAGAGCGUCGGAUUCAUAACCCGGAGGUCGGGAGUUCAAGUCUCCCUCUCGCUA
rnacentral:tRNA from 3 species